GCCGAUUUCUUUUCUAAGGAAAGUGCAAAAUUUCAAUAUGUUGGUCUGAAAAGCCAUGGCUAAAAAAUACUGUUUGAUGAUUUAUUAUAAGAGAAAAAUAUUGUUGGCUGAUAGAAAAAUUACGGCUAAUAAAACAAACAAACAAACGGAGACCAGGAGAGGCAACUAACGAAAUAAAAUAAAAACUCAAGCACGUAUUCGUACAGGGUCUAAACGACCAGAUUGAUUGUUCGACUGCAAUAUAAAAUACUUAAAAAAACACAUAAUCAGGAGAAGCAUAUCUUCCAGGAAGGAACUGCUAAAACAGUGGAAGAAAAAGAAACAUCCGUGGUGGUAAGUGAAUUCUAAAUGGUAAAUCUGUAUGUUGCCUUGGCAAUUUUUUCUUUUUUGUCACCCGGAUUUGUGGCCAUCAGAUCCAUCUCUUAUUUGAUCUGGUCCUUUCUUUCUUCUUUGCUUCUAUGUUAGAAGUCUGUUUUGUUCAUUGUCUAGAUUUCAAAUAAAAUGCAGAUUAGUGUCAAUAUGUUUUUCUUGUUCAUGUGUUAUUUUAAUUCAUGUCUCUCUCUUACAGUCUUAUAUUGUAAUUUUUACAUUGAUUAUGUUGGUGUAAAUUUAUUUUUUUAUUGGUGUAAAUAUGGUUUUUUUAUCUGCUCUCUGAAAUUUGCGUUUCUCAUAUGUUUUCAAUUUGAAUUUCUUCCUAUUUGCCUUCCAUAGAAUUAAUCUAUCUCUGUAAUUUAUGUUUUUGAUAUGUUUUCAAUUUUAAUUUCUUCUAAUUUGUCCUUCCAUAGAAUUAAUUUGUGUUUACAAUUUGUGUUUUUAUUUUUUAAUUUGAAUUUCUUCAAAUUUGCCUCCAUAUAAUUAAUUUGUUUUUUAUUUGGAUCCUUUGUUUUUUAUUUGGAUCCUUUGUUUUUUAUAUGGUACGUUAGAUGUAGAUCUUGUGGUUUUCAAAUUCGGGUGUAUGAUUUCCAUGUGUCACCUGUUUUGUAAUUCAUACGAUAACUGAGCGUUUUAAUUGUUUUUGUCACCCGAGUGACAGGAGCCUUUAAAUCACCCAUGUUUCCAAUAGACAGAUUCGAUUGUCAUUACAGGAAUACAUAUUUUCUUAUAGGAAUAUUUAUUUUGCUUGGAAGUCAAUUUAGAGUUCUUAUUACAUGCAAAAAAAUAGAGAAAAGAAAAAAGAAACCAAAAUACAGGGAAAAGAAAAAAAGAAACCCAAAUAUAGGGGUUUAUUAUUACAGUAACUAGACAUGUCCGUAGUUGGAUGUACCAAGGCUGGGAUGACAAUGGUCGUCAUUCAGAGGAGUGGAUGUACCUAGGAAAAUUGACAUAUGAAAGUGCCUCUAAAGAUUAGAUUUUCCUUUGGUUCGUAAAGAAGGGGUUUAUACAGACAAAAGAUAAUCUUGCUAAAAAGGAAUUGGAAUGGUAGUAAGUCAUAUUUUUUUAGCAAAUCUCAAACUAUCCGGCACUUGAUUUUUUACUGUCAUUAUGUCAAUUUUCCUUUGGUGUGUUGUGUCUGUUUUGUUUGGCAUUUUCGUGGGUAUUGUUGACAGUAGUUAACGUUAAUAUUUUAUAAUUAAAUAAACAUGCAUAGAGACAUAUUUUAGAUCACCAAUAAAGAUUUAGGGUUUAAAUUGACAGAUUCCACGAGUUUUGGUGAAUUAUUAUUUUAUGUGAAAUUUAUCCAGGAAAUCACCAAGGGGGACUUAUUUGUCAAAAGAAAGGGAAAUCCGCGGCGAAAAAUAUGUGAGAAGGUUCUAGAAGGCAAAAGAGGACAAACCACCAAAGAUGGGCCCGAACGGCCACCAUAAUGGGCUGGUCGGUCUAGGCCUAGGGCCGACCGCCCCUGCCUAGAGCCCGAUCACCUCUGUCUUUUGGAAGCUUCCUCCACCAUCUCUAAGGAUGCAUCUAAGUCAUCCGUUAAGUCGGUUUGAUGUAACGGCUCACGUCCAUCCCACCAGGCUAUAUAAUUAGACCCCUACCCCUUCCUGAAGCUAUCUCAAAACCCUAAUUCAUAUUUUCCCUUUGAGGAUCAAGAGAGGGGUCCCAUGAAAGGAUCUACCUCCUAAAGCUAGCCAUCAAGAGAAGAUUAGAUCUCCUAUCUCCAUAUGAUCUAGUCUUAUGAAUAAAAAUAGAGAGAUAAAGAGUGAGGGAAGAUUUUGGAGGAGGUGUCAGCCUGUCGGUGCUCUCUCUGUGGCUUGUAGUUCAGUGGAUCCAAGUUCUAAUUGAACUUGUUUUCAAGAUUUCUGUGGUAAUAAACUUUUGAUCUAAGUUUACUUUGUUUAUAUUGUUCAAUUAUUUGCGACUCUUUUUGAGUGCUUUAUUCUUGCAACUAGAGGGAGUAGAGUAUUAAUCAUAAGUGUAGGUGUGGUGUUUGGGCUUAGGUUAAUCGUGA
rnacentral:lncRNA from 1 species